GGGUAACCUGCCCAAGAGAUCGGGAUAACACCUGGAAACAGAUGCUAAUACCGGAUAACAACAGAUGAUGCCUAUCAACUGUUUAAAAGAUGGUUCUGCUAUCACUCUUGGAUGGACCUGCGGUGCAUUAGCUAGUUGGUAGGGUAACGGCCUACCAAGGCGAUGAUGCAUAGCCGAGUUGAGAGACUGAUCGGCCACAUUGGGACUGAGACACGGCCCAAACUCCUACGGGAGGCAGCAG
rnacentral:rRNA from 1 species